UACGUAGGGUGCAAGCGUUUAAUCGGAAUUACUGGGCGUAAAGCGUGCGCAGGCGGUUAUGUAAGACAGAUGUGAAAUGCCCGGGCUUAACCUGGGAACUGCAUUUGUGACUGCAUGGCUAGAGUUUGGCAGAGGGGGGGUAGAAUUCCACGUGUAGCAGUGAAAUGCGUAGAUAUGUGGAGGAACACCGAUGGCGAAGGCAGCCCCCCUGGGUCAAGACUGACGCUCAUGCACGAAAGCGUGGGGGAGCAAACAGG
rnacentral:rRNA from 1 species